rnacentral:rRNA from 1 species
UACGUAGGGAGCAAGCGUUGUCCGGAAUCAUUGGGCGUAAAGGGCGCGUAGGCGGCCAGCACAAGUCAGUUGUAAAAUCUCCGAGCUUAACUCGGAACGGUCAACUGAUACUGUGCGGCUAGAGUGCAGAAGGGGCAACUGGAAUUCUUGGUGUAGCGGUGAAAUGCGUAGAUAUCAAGAGGAACACCUGCGGCGAAGGCGGGUUGCUGGGCUUGGUCUGACGCUGAGGCGCGAAAGCGUGGGGAGCGAACAGG